rnacentral:rRNA from 1 species
UCUACGGGAGGCAGCAGUGGGGAAUAUUGCGCAAUGGGCGAAAGCCUGACGCAGCGACGCCGCGUGAGGGAUGAAGGUCUUCGGAUCGUAAACCUCUGUCAGCAGGGAAGAACGGUCACUGUGCUAAUCAGCAGUGAAUUGACGGUACCUGCAAAGGAAGCACCGGCUAACUCCGUGCCAGCAGCCGCGGUAAGACGGAGGGUGCGAGCGUUAAUCGUAAUUACUGGGCGUAAAGCGCUCGUAGGCGGUAUGUCAAGUCAAGGGUGAAAUCCCCGCGCUCAACGUGGGAACUGCCUUUGAAACUGGCAAACUGGAGUGUGUGAGAGGAUAGUGGAAUUCCAGGUGUAGGAGUGAAAUCCGUAGAUAUCUGGAGGAACAUCAGUGGCGAAGGCGACUAUCUGGCACAUAACUGACGCUGAGGAGCGAAAGCGUGGGUAGCAAACAGGAUUAGAUACCCGUGUAGUC